rnacentral:lncRNA from 1 species
UUGUGGUUAGCUGGUUAGAUUCUUUUUAUUGAUAAAAUAUCUUGAUUAAAUUUUGCGAAUUGGAAAAUACCAUUCUGUAAAAACAAAUGAACUAAGUCCCAACGUGUGGUUUAUCCGCUGUCGGCGGUGGCACCAGAGUGAUUUCAGAACAAAGAGGUGGAGAUAUACUUUUUAUCAAUCCAUGGUCACACGUUCAUUCUUGAAUUUAGGUUUGAC